rnacentral:rRNA from 1 species
UGGGGGAUAUUGCACAAUGGGCGAAAGCCUGAUGCAGCGACGCCGCGUGGGGGAUGAAGGCUUUCGGGUUGUAAACCUCUUUCGCUAUCGAACAAGGCGCGCUUAGGGUGGGUUGAGGGUAGGUGGAGAAGAAGCGCCGGCUAACUACGUGCCAGCAGCCGCGGUAAUACGUAGGGCGCGAGCGUUGUCCGGAAUUAUUGGGCGUAAAGGGCUUGUAGGCGGCUUGUUGCGCCUGCUGUGAAAACGCGGGGCUUAACUUCGCGCGUGCAGUGGGUACGGGCAGGCUUGAGUGUGGUAGGGGUGACUGGAAUUCCAGGUGUAGCGGUGGAAUGCGCAGAUAUCUGGAGGAACACCGAUGGCGAAGGCAGGUCACUGGGCCAUUACUGACGCUGAGGAGCGAAAGCAUGGGUAGCGAACAGG